AAUGGGGGGCAACCCUUGAUCCAAGCCAUGCCGGCGUGUGUGAAGAAGGCCUUUUUGGUUGUAAAGCACUUUAAGCAGUGAAGAAGACUCCGUGGUUAAUACCCACGGACGAUGACAUUAGCUGCAGAAUAAGCACCGGCUAACUCUGUGCCAGCAGCCGCGGUAAUACAGAGGGUGCAAGCGUUAAUCGGAAUUACUGGGCGUAAAGCGAGCGUAGGUGGCUUGAUAAGUCAGAUGUGAAAUCCCCGGGCUUAACCUGGGAACUGCAUCUGAUACUGUUAAGCUAGAGUAGGUGAGAGGGAAGUAGAAUUUCAGGUGUAGCGGUGAAAUGCGUAGAGAUCUGAAGGAAUACCGAUGGCGAAGGCAGCUUCCUGGCAUCAUACUGACACUGAGGCUCGAAAGCGUGGGUAGCAAACAGGAUUAGAUACCCUGGUAGUCCACGCCGUAAACGAUGUCUACUAGUCGUUGGGUCCCUUGAGGACUUAGUGACGCAGCUAACGCAAUAAGUAGACCGCCUGGGGAGUACGGCCGCAAGGUUAAAACUCAAAUGAAUUGACGGGGGCCCGCACAAGCGGUGGAGCAUGUGGUUUAAUUCGAUGCAACGCGAAGAACCUUACCUGGUCUUGACAUAUCUAGAAUCCUGCAGAGAUGCGGGAGUGCCUUCGGGAAUUAGAAUACAGGUGCUGCAUGGCUGUCGUCAGCUCGUGUCGUGAGAUGUUGGGUUAAGUCCCGCAACGAGCGCAACCCUUGUCCUUAGUUACCAGCGGGUUAAGCCGGGAACUCUAAGGAUACUGCCAGUGACAAACUGGAGGAAGGCGGGGACGACGUCAAGUCAUCAUGGCCCUUACGACCAGGGCUACACACGUGCUACAAUGGUAGGUACAGAGGGCAGCUACACAGCGAUGUGAUGCGAAUCUCAAAAAGCCUAUCGUAGUCCAGAUUGGAGUCUGCAACUCGACUCCAUGAAGUAGGAAUCGCUAGAAUCGCGAUCAGA
rnacentral:rRNA from 1 species